rnacentral:rRNA from 1 species
GACGAACGCUGGCGGCGUGCUUAACACAUGCAAGUCGAACGGAAAGGCCCUGCUUUUGUGGGGUGCUCGAGUGGCGAACGGGUGAGUAACACGUGAGUAACCUGCCCUUGACUUUGGGAUAACUUCAGGAAACUGGGGCUAAUACCGGAUAGGAGCUCCUGCUGCAUGGUGGGGGUUGGAAAGUUUCGGCGGUUGGGGAUGGACUCGCGGCUUAUCAGCUUGUUGGUGGGGUAGUGGCUUACCAAGGCUUUGACGGGUAGCCGGCCUGAGAGGGUGACCGGCCACAUUGGGACUGAGAUACGGCCCAGACUCCUACGGGAGGCAGCAGUGGGGAAUAUUGCACAAUGGGCGGGAGCCUGAUGCAGCAACGCUGCGUGCGGGAUGACGGCCUUCGGGUUGUAAACCGCUUUCGCCUGUGACGAAGCGUGAGUGACGGUAAUGGGUAAAGAAGCACCGGCUAACUACGUG